ensembl:lncRNA
GUUAUAUUGACAUUUCAAGCUAUAAGUUAACCCUGAUCAAUCAAAUGGAUAGGUCUAAGCAAUUAUGGUCCUUCCAACUGCCCUUAACUAGGUGUCUUUGCGAGGCAGACACACAGACAGAGAGGGGGGAGAGGGAGAAAGAGGAUGAGAGUGAAAGAGAGAGGUGGGAAGAGUGAAAUACAGAGAGAGAUCAGGGGGAGAGAGAGAAACAGAGAAAGACGGUCGUGUAAAAUGACUUAGACUUGAGCAUUUCAACAACUAUUUUCUUCAAACUUGUUAGGCAAUCAUAUGUACUCACCAGGGAAGGAUGGCCAGCCACACAAGAGGGUGAUUUUCAUUGAGGAGAAGGAGGCCAUGCUGACCGAGAUGCAUGUCGGCCAUUUUGGAGUGAAGCUCAUGAUUGCCAAAAUCAACAUAUGCUUCUUUUGCCAUGGGAUUGUCAAGGAUGUGGACAGCUGGGCAAAACACAAUGUUUCAGUUUGUCACCUUGAGCUUAAAAGUCAGUACCUGUCUAGCCUGACAGAAGUUUGAGAGGUUUUAGACUGUGUUGAAGACCAUCCGUUGUUUCACCAUGGCACAUGAUCGGGGUGGACCUCAUUGGACCCUUCACAAAAUCCAGGAAGGGCAACAGCUGGUGUUUGAAGGUGACCAAUUAUUGGGUGGAGGCAAUACCCAUUAAGGAAAAUACUGGCAAGGCCACCUCCAAGGCGAUGAUGGACAUCUUCAAUACCCAUG